rnacentral:rRNA from 1 species
GUGAGGAAUAUUGGACAAUGGGCGCAAGCCUGAUCCAGCCAUGCCGCGUGCAGGAAGACGCAUCCAUGGUGUGUAAACUGCUUUUGUACGGGAAGAAACACUCCCUCGUGAGGGAGCUUGACGGUACCGUAAGAAUAAGGAUCGGCUAACUCCGUGCCAGCAGCCGCGGUAAUACGGAGGAUCCAAGCGUUAUCCGGAAUCAUUGGGUUUAAAGGGUCCGUAGGCGGUUUAAUAAGUCAGUGGUGAAAGCCCAUCGCUCAACGAUGGAACGGCCAUUGAUACUGUUAGACUUGAAUUACAAGGAAGUAACUAGAAUAUGUAGUGUAGCGGUGAAAUGCUUAGAUAUUACAUGGAAUACCAAUUGCGAAGGCAGGUUACUACUUGUGGAUUGACGCUGAUGGACGAAAGCGUGGGGAGCGAACAGGAUUAGAUACCCUAGUAGUCC